GUUAUACCGACUACGUGCCAGUGCCUGAUCUUAUUAUAAAAGGCGGGUACCAAAAACCAAAACCAGCACCUUAGUGGUCCAGUGUUGGCCUUUGAUGUUACCUGUUCUGGGAGGAGCUCCUGCUGAAAGAUCACAGAUGUGUUCCUGCUGUCCUCUCAACGUCUUGAUGUCCCUGCAGCUCCACUUUAUCACCACUAGAUGGCAGACUUCUCCCUGUUUCUGGUCCCUGUUAGAGGAUAAGAACAUGUUCCAGUCCAGACUGCAAGCUGCUGCUUUUUCCUCCACAUGUCGCAUUUCUGAUGUCCUGUAGAGUCGCUGAUCCACAGGUGAUCGAUCCACAGCUGUGUCCUGCAGGAGGAGCACCAGCUCAGACACUGGAUGGCAGCAGGAGGCUCUGUGUGUGUUUAAUGUGUAAUAAAAGUGUCUGUAACUGUCCUGUGAUGGAGCCCUGUCACGCUCGGUCCUUUUAUUUCAUUAUAUCUGUUUCAAUAAACGCGUCCCCGCUCUGUGA
ensembl:lncRNA